GUGGGGAAUAUUGGACAAUGGGCGCAAGCCUGAUCCAGCCAUGCCGCGUGAGUGAUGAAGGCCUUAGGGUUGUAAAGCUCUUUCAGUGGGGACGAUAAUGACGGUACCCACAGAAGAAGCCCCGGCUAACUUCGUGCCAGCAGCCGCGGUAAUACGAAGGGGGCUAGCGUUGUUCGGAAUUACUGGGCGUAAAGCGCACGUAGGCGGAUCGGAAAGUUGGGGGUGAAAUCCCAGGGCUCAACCCUGGAACUGCCUUCAAAACUAUCGGUCUGGAGUCCGAGAGAGGUGAGUGGAAUUCCGAGUGUAGAGGUGAAAUUCGUAGAUAUUCGGAGGAACACCAGUGGCGAAGGCGGCUCACUGGCUCGGUACUGACGCUGAGGUGCGAAAGCGUGGGGAGCAAACAGGAUUAGAAACCCCUGUAGUCC
rnacentral:rRNA from 1 species